GCCGCCAUGGUGAAAUGUAGACACGCUGCUCU
rnacentral:tRNA from 1 species